rnacentral:rRNA from 1 species
GACGAACGCUGGCGGCGGGCUCAACACAUGCAAGUCGAACGGAAAGGCCCUGCUUUUGGGGGGUGCGCGAGUGGCGAACGGGUGAGUAACACGUGAGUAACCUGCCCUUGACUUUGGGAUAACUUCAGGAAACUGGGGCUAAUACCGGAUAGGAGCUCCUGCUGCAUGGUGGGGGUUGGAAAGUUUCGGCGGUUGGGGAUGGACUCGCGGCUUAUCAGCUUGUUGGUGGGGUAGUGGCUUACCAAGGCUUUGACGGGUCGCCGGCCUGAGAGGGUGACCGGCCACAUUGGGACUGAGAUACGGACCAGACUCCUACGGGAGGCAGCAGUGGGGAAUAUUGCACAAUGGGCGGAAGCCUGAUGCAGCAACGCCGCGUGCGGGAUGACGGCCUUCGGGUUGUAAACCGCUUUCGCCUGUGACGAAGCGUGAGUGACGGUAAUGGGUAAAGAAGCACCGGCUAACUACGUG